CCUACGGGAGGCUGCAGUGAGGAAUAUUGGUCAAUGGGCGUAAGCCUGAACCAGCCAAGUCGCGUGAGGGAUGAAGGUUCUAUGGAUCGUAAACCUCUUUUAUAAGGGAAUAAAGUGCGGGACGUGUCCCGUUUUGUAUGUACCUUAUGAAUAAGGAUCGGCUAACUCCGUGCCAGCAGCCGCGGUAAUACGGAGGAUCCGAGCGUUAUCCGGAUUUAUUGGGUUUAAAGGGUGCGUAGGCGGACGCUUAAGUCAGCGGUAAAAUUGCGGGGCUCAACCUCGUCGAGCCGUUGAAACUGGGUGCCUUGAGUGGGCGAGAAGUACGCGGAAUGCGUGGUGUAGCGGUGAAAUGCAUAGAUAUCACGCAGAACUCCGAUUGCGAAGGCAGCGUACCGGCGCCCAACUGACGCUGAAGCACGAAGGCGUGGGUAUCGAACAGGAUUAGAUACCCUUGUAGUC
rnacentral:rRNA from 1 species